AAAAAAAAAAGCUUGGGAAACUGGGUCUAAUACCGGAUAUGACAAUCGUUUAUUGUCGGUUUUGGAAAGUUUUUUCGGUUAGGGAGGAGCACGCGGCCUAUCAGCUUGUUGGUGGGUUAAUGGCCUACCAAGGCGUCGACGGGUAGCCGGCCUGAUAGGGUGGACGGCAAAAUUGGGACUGAUAUACGGCCCAGAUUCCUACGGGAGGCAGCAGUGAGGAAUAUUGCUUUUUUUUUU
rnacentral:rRNA from 1 species